rnacentral:lncRNA from 1 species
AGUUCAAGUGUUCCUUACACAGGUAUGCGUCUUCUAUUGACGAUAUCUUGGAAGACGAGGAGCACUACGCAGACCAGCUGAAGGAGUACUUGUUCUAUGCGGAAGCACUUCGGGCUGUGUGCAGGAAGCAUGAGCUUAUGCAGUAUGACCUGGAGACAGCUGCUCAGGACCUGGCCUCCAAGAAGCAGCAGUGCGAGGAGCUGGCCACUGGGACUGUGAGAACAUUCUCGUUGAAGGGAAUGACUACCAAACUCUUUGGUCAAGAAACUCCAGAGCAAAGAGAAGCCCGGAUAAAGGUGCUAGAGGAGCAGAUAAAUGAAGGGGAACAGCAGCUGAAGUCUAAAAAUCUGGAAGGCAGAGAAUUUGUGAAAAAUGCAUGGGCUGAUAUUGAACGCUUCAAAGAACAAAAGAACCGGGACCUAAAGGAAGCCCUCAUCAGCUAUGCUGUCAUGCAGAUCAGCAUGUGCAAAAAGGGAAUUCAGGUUUGGACCAAUGCUAAGGAAUGCUUCAGCAAGAUGUAAUCCUGUGAAGUGACUUCUCUUCAGGCAAAGCGCCCCAAACGAAGCACAAGUACAAGAAACUCAGUUGCUGCCUGAUACAUAAAAGCCUACAGAGCAGAGCGGCGUUGGUUAAGCAUGGUAUGUUCCUAGAGCACCAAAGGGUACGGCUUAAUGAAGAGUAAAUGCUGCCAUUUGAAGUUCUGGGACUGGUGCUGAUUCCAAAAAGUUAGUAAGAUACACCGACAGUCUGGCUUCUGAAGCAGUGCCUGCAUGUCAGGAUGUGAGUGAUCUCCUGUGCUCCUCUCAGUGCCGACUGCCGGAUCUCCUCCUGGGAGAGUUCCCAAGACGAGGUCCCGUGUGGACUUUGUAGGACCCACUUCUGCCGCGGGCUUACUUUAUCUUGCCUUAGAGUUGAGCUGUGGUUUGACAGAGCUCAGCAGAACCUUAAUCGUGAAGUCUAAGGUUUUCUUCCCUGUUCCUAGAUCCUGUACCAACUGUGGACACUAGAAAAUGCCUUCAGUCUGUGUUCCACCAAGAUUUUGAUACUGGUCAGAAAUUUUAUACUGCCAACAAAUAAGUCUCAGCUUCUCAGAUUUGCAGCGGAAUAAAUUCAUUAUUAUAAUAGAAAUUGCUAUACAGAAAGAUUUAAUUGAGCAUUAUUAUUCUCAAAUAAUUGUUAACUUCAGUAGCAGCCUCGGUUCCCUGCCUGGCCCUGUGCACAUGGUAUUUCAGGGUAGAUGUAGCUUCCAUAUGUGAGACUCAGUGAACACACGUGGGCCAGAACCUUCCCCACUGAUGUGCUUUCCUAUUGCCUGGCUGUGGGUUUUGUAAAGAUAAAUUAUGUUGUUGUGUUUUAAUGUGUGUUUCAUGUACAUGUUCAGAAACCAAGCCUUGCUCUGCUAGCUUCAGAAUCCUAACUCUGCACUCAUUCUUUCUAAUGUUUCAAACUAUACUCAGUACUGUUUGACAUUUGACUUUUUUACAUGUUUAAAAUGUUGCUGGAUUUUUGUGCUGUUUGCCAAACUUAUAUAAUAAAGGAAGUGUUGUGUUUAUUUCCAGAA